rnacentral:lncRNA from 10 species
AUAUGCCACAGGCUAGAGUGCCAACAGGCUUCCACGGCGGCAGCCGGCUACGCUUGCCGUGGGAGGUGCCACCUGCAGGCUACACCUGCACGGAGCUGGGCAGAGCGGGGAAGACUCGUGCCCAGAGGGUUGAACGACUGGCCGGCCGUCGCCAGCCUCGGAGACAGCCGUGUGUCUGGGAAUCGGUGCUCUUGGCCUCUGGGCCCCAAGGCAUUUGCUGUCAUGAUUUUGUUCCUGGCCACAAUAACGCAUUUCCAAGGCCGUCCUGCUGCGUUUAUGAUGCGGCUCCUUCCAGAGCCUCCAGGCAGCUGCUGAGUGGCUGGGUGGUUUUCCUGCUCGUGGGAAAAAGGGAGCCACCAGGCCUGGCCUCUUCUGCUCAUAAGGACCUUACCCCUGUCCCUUUAUGGGAGCAGGGCUGACAGCUCAAGACCACUGCUGAUUUGGGAGCCUGAAGGCCUGGCAGGGAGGUGGCAACCUGUCAGCAGGGGGACCAGGUCUGUGCGCCA